rnacentral:rRNA from 1 species
GGGAUUGCCCCAGUAACGGCGAGUGAAGCGGCAACAGCUCAGAUUUGAAAUCCGGCCUCGGCCCGAGUUGUAAUCUGUAGGGGAUGUCCCUGGCGCGGCGCCUACCGAGUUCCCUGGAACGGGACGCCAUAGAGGGUGAGAGCCCCGUAUGGUUGGACGCCUAGCCUCUGUGGGACUCCUCCGACGAGUCGAGUAGUUUGGGAAUGCUGCUCUAAUUGGGAGGUAAAUCUCUUCUAAAGCUAAAUACCGGCCAGAGACCGAUAGCGCACAAGUAGAGUGAUCGAAAGAUGAAAAGCACCUUGGAAAGGGGGUUAAAAAGCACGUGAAAUUGUUGAAAGGGAAGCGCCCAUGACCAGACUCGCGCCGGGCGGAUCAUCCAGCGUUCUCGCUGGUGCACUCCGCCCGGUACGGGCCAGCAUCGGUUUCUGCGGGGGGAUAAGAGCAGCGGGGACGUGGCCCCUCCGGGGGUGUUAUAACCCGCUGCACGAUGCCCUCUCGGGGACCGAGGUUCGCGCUCUGCAAGGAUGCUGGCAUAAUGGUCAUCGGCGACCCGUCUUGAAACACGGACCAAGGAGUCGUCCAUUACGGCGAGCGUUUGGGUGUCAAACCCCUACGCGUAAUGAAAGUGAACGCAGGUGAGAGCUUCGGCGCAUCAUCGACCGAUCCUGAUGUAUUCGGAUGGAUUUGAGUAAGAGUCGUACCGGACGGACCCGAAAGAUGGUGAACUAUGCCUGAAUAGGGUGAAGCCAGAGGAAACUCUGGUGGAGGCUCGCAGCGGUUCUGACGUGCAAAUCGAUCGUCAAAUUUGGGCAUGGGGGCGAAAGACUAAUCGAACCAUCCUCAUGGCAUCUAAAAAAAGGUUUUUUUUAGCUACUAGGUGGUUGAGAGGAGCGCUUAAGGUGCUUCUAGUCGCGGGAGAGUUUGGUCCUCCAGGCGGCGACACUGUCAAAUUGCGGGAAAGCCUGUUAAUUGCCUAAGCUACCG